ACCGUCAAGGUCGUCAAAGUCUAGGUAGCAGCCAACACCUUCACACGGGGAGUCGCCUGGAAGUUCAGAGGUGAGCAUGAGGCUCUCUGCCCUUCAGGGCACCUCUAGAAAUCACAAAUUUCCCCACCCAUUCCCAAGGAAGUGAAAGGCAUCGGAAGUAGCAGAAGAAACGAGUGAGACAGGUGACAGUAGAGCCAAGUGGCAGCAGCCGUGGAAAGCAAGAAGAAGAGAGGAGAGUAGCCUGGUCCCUCCAAUCACCCAGCUGCCGCAGGACCACCUACAUCUCUGCUCUGUAUGUUCCAGCUCAAAUACAUCUGCUGGACCCCGGAGAGUCCAUCUCCCUUGGUGUCAUCUAUGUCCCUAAAUCGAACCCCAUUAUUUGAGGUGGCAUGAGUGAGUUUCCACUCUUUGCAGCUCCCAAAUCUGCACUGAUGCCGUGAUGGACUUGCUGUACCGCGCUCUACAGUGAUACAUCGUGACAUGUGUCAUAUGCAUACCGUCAUGUGCUGUGACAUAUGGUAACAUACCGCCAAGACAUGCUCCCAGGUAGUGGACCAGUUUUCAUUCCCACUGGCAGGGAUCCUAGGUCUUGUUGGUCCACGUAUUCUUCAACGUGAUAGUCAGAUUCCUUGAUUUUUGCCACUAAAAUCACCACAAAAUGGCAUCUCAUUCUGGUCUUGAUUUUCUUUCCCAUGGUUGCUAGUGAAGUGGGGUGCGACUCUGUGUUGUAUUUCUGCAAAGUGCUUGCUCGUGUGUUUUGACACCUUUGUCUACUAGAUUGUUUGUUGUUUCAGAA
rnacentral:lncRNA from 1 species